rnacentral:rRNA from 1 species
AAAGGCGCUUUCGGGUGUCGCUGAUGGAUGGACCCGCGGUGCAUUAGCUAGUUGGUGAGGUAACGGCUCACCAAGGCCACGAUGCAUAGCCGACCUGAGAGGGUGAUCGGCCACAUUGGGACUGAGACACGGCCCAAACUCCUACGGGAGGCAGCAGUAGGGAAUCUUCGGCAAUGGACGAAAGUCUGACCGAGCAACGCCGCGUGAGUGAAGAAGGUUUUCGGAUCGUAAAACUCUGUUGUUAGAGAAGAACAAGGAUGAGAGUAACUGUUCAUCCCUUGACGGUAUCUAACCAGAAAGCCACGGCUAACUACGUGCCAGCAGCCGCGGUAAUACGUAGGUGGCAAGCGUUGUCCGGAUUUAUUGGGCGUAAAGCGAGCGCAGGCGGUUUCUUAAGUCUGAUGUGAAAGCCCCCGGCUCAACCGGGGAGGGUCAUUGGAAACUGGGAGACUUGAGUGCAGAAGAGGAGAGUGGAAUUCCAUGUGUAGCGGUGAAAUGCGUAGAUAUAUGGAGGAACACCAGUGGCGAAGGCGGCUCUCUGGUCUGUAACUGACGCUGAGGCUCGAAAGCGUGGGGAGCAAACAGGAUUAGAUACCCUGGUAGUCCACGCCGUAAACGAUGAGUGCUAAGUGUUGGAGGGUUUCCGCCCUUCAGUGCUGCAGCUAACGCAUUAAGCACUCCGCCUGGGGAGUACGACCGCAAGGUUGAAACUCAAAGGAAUUGACGGGGGCCCGCACAAGCGGUGGAGCAUGUGGUUUAAUUCGAAGCAACGCGAAGAACCUUACCAGGUCUUGACAUCCUUUGACCACUCUAGAGAUAGAGCUUCCCCUUCGGGGGCAAAGUGACAGGUGGUGCAUGGUUGUCGUCAGCUCGUGUCGUGAGAUGUUGGGUUAAGUCCCGCAACGAGCGCAACCCUUAUUGUUAGUUGCCAUCAUUCAGUUGGGCACUCUAGCAAGACUGC